AGCUGCUUUUCCAAUACUUUUAGGGAG
rnacentral:piRNA from 1 species